UACAGAGGGGGCAAGCGUUGUUCGGAAUUACUGGGCGUAAAGGGCGCGUAGGCGGCCUGUUAAGUCGAACGUGAAAUCCCCGGGCUCAACCCGGGAACUGCGUCCGAUACUGGCAGGCUUGAAUCCGGGAGAGGGAUGCGGAAUUCCAGGUGUAGCGGUGAAAUGCGUAGAUAUCUGGAGGAACACCGGUGGCGAAGGCGGCAUCCUGGACCGGCAUUGACGCUGAGGCGCAAAAGCCAGGGGAGCAAACGGG
rnacentral:rRNA from 1 species